rnacentral:lncRNA from 12 species
CUUUUUCUUGUUGUAUUUAGUGCACAGGAAGGGUCUAAUCUGGGGAUGAACUGUUCAUUAAAGACCAUCAGUGAGUGUAACAGCUUGAUUUGUUGCAGAAAUUGGAAGUUGUACAGCCAUCAAAGCAGGAGAUUAAAGGAAGAGGAGGACAAAAUUGUUUUCUUGAUUAAGAGCUGCAUCCUUCCAGAGGCCUGUGACACAACUACCAUUCCUCAGACUGUGUGGUGCAAGAUCUCUUGGUUCUGUGGCUCAACCAGGCUGGAAAGGACAGCUGCAGCUCCCAGGGGUGCAGAUUGGCAGGACCUGUGGGCUGACCACCAUCAGGCAGGUGCAGGAGCAGCCUUCAAUUCCAAAGAGCUGAAGUACAUCAGAAAAUCAGAAGAAGGUCGAAAUGGGAGAGAGCAGGCUGAUAGAAAAUACUUGUUUUAUUGUCUUUAUAAUAUAAAAAGAUGAUGUCAGUAAUCUUACCAGUUUAGAUUGGUGCAGUUUAACUAUAAACAAGAGAUUGUAUGUCAACAUAAAAUUCAAGGUCUUAAAGUCUUUUCCCAAAACACAGUAUGAUGCAAACACCUGUAAUCACCUCAGUCACCAUGCCAGAGACCUUUUAUUCUGCUAGAAAGUGAAAAUAAUCUAAACAUAUAGCAAUAUAUGAAUGCAUGCUUAGGUAUUAUACAUAAACAAGUGAAACUCAUUGAAAAGAAAAACAGAAACCCAUCACAGCAUGGAUAUAUCACCUGCUCUUCCAACAGAUACUUGGAAAAAGAUGUCACGACUGGUAGGUCUCUUUGGGGUCUGUUUUUUUAUGUACCUGCCAGGAAAAAAAAGAUGGUUUAUUUAAUAAGGAGAUUCUGGAUCUAUUAUUUUUUUAAAAUCAUUAUUACUUGCCUACAUUUACCAUCUCUGUAGGUAUGCUGGUUUGCAGUUCUUAGAAUAAGACAUGUAGCCUUUGACAUAAAGAUUUAUUGAAAUCCCAUUAGGAACACCACAGUGCUACUUUUAAUGAGCUUUUUCUGUGACCUAAUUUUAGGAAAAAUCCCAAAUGAUCUCAAAUCAAUUAAGUUCUGAAUGUCAAAAUUUAGAUUAAUCAUGAAAAAAACACUUCCAUUAUCAACACUUUUAAUAAGCUUUUCCACUUUGGGCUCCCUGCUGGAUGUGCAACUCAACAUGUACACUACCUUAGUCUUUGAGUGGUCCCAUUGAUUAUUUGGUGGCAUUAACCUGGAGAAUAGUUUCCAGUGUACCACAGAUACAUAAUGACUUGAAAGUUGUGAGCUUGCAGACAACUCUUUAUGAUUGGAUUGUUUUCUAAUGUUUCUAAUAAUUUCUUCUUUUGAAAGAAGAAAUAAAGAAUUUUGAGAGAGAAGAAAACUGGUUUA